GACGAACGCUGGCGGCGUGCCUAAUACAUGCAAGUUGAGCGCUGAAGGUUGGUACUUGUACCAACUGGAUGAGCAGCGAACGGGUGAGUAACGCGUGGGGAAUCUGCCUUUGAGCGGGGGACAACAUUUGGAAACGAAUGCUAAUACCGCAUAAAAACUUUAAACACAAGUUUUAAGUUUGAAAGAUGCAAUUGCAUCACUCAAAGAUGAUCCCGCGUUGUAUUAGCUAGUUGGUGAGGUAAAGGCUCACCAAGGCGAUGAUACAUAGCCGACCUGAGAGGGUGAUCGGCAACAUUGGGACUGAGACACGGCCCAAACUCCUACGGGAGGCAGCAGUAGGGAAUCUUCGGCAAUGGACGAAAGUCUGACCGAGCAACGCCGCGUGAGUGAAGAAGGUUUUCGGAUCGUAAAACUCUGUUGGUAGAGAAGAACGUUGGCGAGAGUGGAAAGCUCAUCAAGUGACGGUAACUACCCAGAAAGGGACGGCUAACUACGUG
rnacentral:rRNA from 1 species